GCCGCUGCAGAGUUUGAUCCUGGCUCAGAUUGAACGCUGGCGGCAGGCUUAACACAUGCAAGUCGAGCGGAGAGAGGUAGCUUGCUACUGAUCUUAGCGGCGGACGGGUGAGUAAUGCUUAGGAAUCUGCCUAUUAGUGGGGGACAACAUUUCGAAAGGAAUGCUAAUACCGCAUACGUCCUACGGGAGAAAGCAGGGGAUCUUCGGACCUUGCGCUAAUAGAUGAGCCUAAGUCGGAUUAGCUAGUUGGUGGGGUAAAGGCCUACCAAGGCGACGAUCUGUAGCGGGUCUGAGAGGAUGAUCCGCCACACUGGGACUGAGACACGGCCCAGACUCCUACGGGAGGCAGCAGUGGGGAAUAUUGGACAAUGGGCGCAAGCCUGAUCCAGCCAUGCCGCGUGUGUGAAGAAGGCCUUAUGGUUGUAAAGCACUUUAAGCGAGGAGGAGGCUACUUUAGUUAAUACCUAGAGAUAGUGGACGUUACUCGCAGAAUAAGCACC
rnacentral:rRNA from 1 species